rnacentral:lncRNA from 1 species
CCCGGGCUCUGUUGCACUGGCUGGGGUUAGGCGGAUGCCAUACUGCGCCGCCCGCCCCGGAGCGGUCCCGCUGAGCUGCUGGAGGGGAGAGGCGGCCGGGCUGAAGCGAGGGAUUCCCACUCGGGCGCUAGCGAAGGCUGGCAGAGACGGGGAGACGAGCACAGCCUCCCUCCGUGCCUGCCACCGGCACCAUGACGCGCCCUUCUCCCCCGCACCUGCAGGGACUGCCCGGCACACCGACCCCCGGCAGCCCGGCGUCCUUCUCCUGCCACCCCCGACACCCCGCUCUUCCUCCGGCCGCUUCACUCCGUGGGCGAAAUUCCUCGGCCGCAGGGAGGAACCACUUGUGGGAUCGCUCUCCGGCGCCCCAGCUCUUGCCGAGCCACAGCUGCGGAUCCACUGGCAGCGCGGGCUGGGGCGGCCCCAGCACCGGGCACCUCCUCCGGCUCCGCCUCCGGGCAGAAAUAACCUUUUCCGCCCCCCUGCUCGGCGUUCCGUCCCGAGUGGGAGCUCUCGGAGAAAGGGGGUCACGUCGUGUCCUCACGGGUUUGUCCGCCUGGAAGGCCUCCGCUCCCCUUGGGAAGUCCCGGCCUGCCCCCGCCCCGUGCCUCGGGGCGCCCCGGGAGGGGACGGCAGUACCGGCUGUUGGAGAGCACCGAGGGCGGCCCUUCCCUGCCGCCUCCUGUGGGGCUUUAUUUCGUAACAUCCUCCCCCCUAACACGAGCCCACGGUCGCGCUUCAGACCUACGGGGUCAGGCUGCGUCUCCCCGCCGCUAAAACUACAGGGGCCCUGCCUCGCCCUGCAGCCUUCAGAGGGGCUUGAGGAAGCAAGAACAAUAUGUCUCUGUUGUUCUCGAGAACAGCCCGUGUUUGUCAAGUGCAAAAGGAAGUCAUGGACUGAAAGGAGACGGAAGAAGCAUGCUAUUCCACUUAGCAUUACUGACUUGUGAAGUUUGCUUCGUUAUUAGCACCAUGUCUAUUCCAAAUACAAGGUAGUUUUUCUACUGAUUUGGCUGUGUGUGAGGCUGACUGCUAAACUGGGGAAAAAAUCGAAAUGCUGUUGAAUAACAAACACAAAUUACUGAUGCCUUUAUGAAGUGAAAAUACAUCUUUUAAUCUGUUCUUUGAAGCAAACAAUCAGGCAAUAGGAGCUCUUGUGCUUUCAUGUUUGAUUAGGAGAUAAUUCUAAGGACUUUUUAUAAACUGGAGUAACAUCCCAUUUGUUAUCAGAAGUACUCUUACCUUGUUCACUUGUUUAUCAAAGGCUGUGAAAUUAACAUCUUUAACACCAGAUGGUUUGUAUAUAAUCAUGAUUCAGUACCAUCCUGUUCCAGCUCUUUUUUUUCAGAGACAAAACAGACAAAAACUUGGAACAAGCAGCUGGCUGUAGACUUGUUGAAAUAACAAGCUUCUCUUUGUUAUAUAUUUCUACAGCUAUAAGUCAUUUACCUCUGGUAUUAACCAUAAUUAUAAUUUUAACAUCCAAGAGUUUGCCAACUUUAGUAGUUGCAAACAUAAAUGCAAUUUUUGAUUAGUUACAAACAGCACACGACAAAUACCACAGGCUUGACUUAGCUGACCCAACUAGUGUAAACACAGUCCAAGACCAAAAAAGACAAUUCAAAUGUACCCUGAUUCAUAGAGAUUAAAUCUAAACAAAACUGUGUCCAAUUUAUAUUCUUCAUGUAUUGUGGCCAUUCAUGUCCAGUAGGAGAAAAAUUAUUUUAGAUUAAUCUGCAUUUUGAAUUUGUUUACGGUAAUGUGGAUGGAAUUCAUAGAUUAAUCUGAACUCUAUCUCCACAAAUACUGGGUUUAAAAUGGAUGUAAAAUUUCAUUAAUCCUUUAAGGCCUUCUUAUUUAACUACAGGAUAACGUAAAGGAGUGAGAGAUUGGAGACUCAUUGUAAAUUCUUCACUGAGAAACAGGAAAAAGUUUUCAGGAGUCCAGAAU